ensembl:miRNA
CAUCCCUUAAUGUGUGUGUGUGUGUGUGUGUGUGUUUAUAUAUGUGUGUGCAUGUAUAUGUGUAGAUAUAUAAUCUUUUUGUAAUAUCCCACCAUAGUACCUUGAAGGUGUCACCCAC